rnacentral:rRNA from 1 species
AACGCGAAGAACCUUACCUACCCUUGACAUCUUCGGGAUUCUGCAGAGAUGCGGAAGUGCCGAAAGGAACCGAAAGACAGGUGCUGCAUGGCUGUCGUCAGCUCGUGUUGUGAGAUGUUGGGUUAAGUCCCGUAACGAGCGCAACCCUUGUCCUUAGUUACCAGCGCGUGAAGGCGGGGACUCUAAGGAGACUGCUGGUGAAGAACCGGAGGAAGGCGGGGACGACGUCAAGUCAUCAUGGCCUUUAUGGGUAGGGCUACACACGUGCUACAAUGGGGCAUACAGAGGGAAGCGAACCUGCGAAGGGGAGCGAAUCCGCUAAAGUGCCUCGUAGUCCAGAUUGAAGUCUGCAACUCGACUUCAUGAAGUCGGAAUCGCUAGUAAUCGCGAAUCAGCACGUCGCGGUGAAUACGUUCCCGGGCCUUGUACACACCGCUCGUC